rnacentral:miRNA from 1 species
AUUGCUUUGUGCUUCCCAGUG